ACGGCUCAGUAACACGUGGACAACCUACCCUAUGGAGGGGGAUAACCCCGGGAAACUGGGGAUAAUACCCCAUAGACUAUGGAUGCUGGAAUGCUCUGUAGCCAAAAGGUCAGCCGCCAUAGGAUGGGUCUGCGGCCGAUUAGGUAGUUGUUGGGGUAACGGCCCAACAAGCCUGUAAUCGGUACGGGUUGUGGGAGCAAGAGCCCGGAGAUGGAUUCUGAGACACGAAUCCAGGCCCUACGGGGCGCAGCAGGCGCGAAAACUUUACAAUGCGGGAAACCGUGAUAAGGGAACUCCGAGUGCCCGUUAAAUCGGGCUGUCCAUCUGUGUAAAUAACAGGUGAAGAAAGGGCCGGGCAAGACCGGUGCCAGCCGCCGCGGUAAUACCGGCGGCUCGAGUGGUGGCCACUAUUACUGGGCUUAAAGCGUUCGUAGCUGGUUUGUUAAGUCUCUGGGGAAAUCUUCCGGCUUAACCGGAAGGCGUCUCAGGGAUACUGGCAGACUAGGGACCGGAAGAGGUGAGGGGUACUCCAGGGGUAGGAGUGAAAUCCUGUAAUCCUUGGGGGACCACCUGUGGCGAAGGCGCCUCACCAGAACGGCUCCGACAGUGAGGGACGAAAGCUGGGGGAGCAAACCGGAUUAGAUACCCGGGUAGUCCCAGCCGUAAACGAUGUGCGUUAGGUGUAUCGGUGACCACGAGUCACCGAGGUGCCGAAGAGAAGUCGUGAAACGUACCGCCUGGAA
rnacentral:rRNA from 1 species